UUUAGAUCGUGCAAUAUGCCACGAUGCGGCGCAGCGUUCGAGACGUUUCAUUAAAAGUCGAUGUUACGACAUCGAGGUGCUCGAUCGCUCGCGCAGAUCUAGGCAUGCGACCUAGACCCGACCUUUCCCAAGUUCCUGACGGAAAUAAGGCUAAUACAGCUACCGACACUUAGCUUCGGUAAUCGAACCAAGAAAUAAACGACGUUCCACAGCCGCGAUCACGGAGCCACUCGAAUUACGAGAACGGUUCAAUCGAUUUCACGGUGAACUUUCUAAGAAUAUUUCCACGCCUUUGCUGGAGAACUUCCGGUAACGAAACGUUUUCGUACCGUCACUGCGUUCGAUCAAUCGAAGAAUAAACGCUGCUUUCGAUAUUUAAAUAAUAAAACAAAUUUAAUUUAAUAGUAUGAUAGAAAUUAAAAAUAUGAUAGAUUAGUCAUAAUCCAUGCAAUUUCCUUUUAAUUAUUAAACACUAUAAUUAGAAGAAAAAUUUAAUAAUGAAGAAUAUUUAUUGCUACGAUAUUUCAGAUUAUUAAGAUAAUUCUAAAAAAAGAUCAAUAAGAAAAUGUCAGAACUAAAGAGCAAAUGCUUUCUCUUAAUUAAAUAUUCUUCUUUUUUUCCUUUACUUUAAUUCAAAGUAAAUUGACUAUGAUAUAUAACUAUAUUUCUUUUCUUGGCGCUAUUUUUUUAAAAAAAAAAGAUAUUCAUUCCUUGCUGCGAACGAUCUCGAUCUCGUCACAGAUGAAUAACCGUGGAAAUAUUUAUAAAUGCGACACUCAUAAUUUAGUCGAUGACCGAACGUAUCGUGCUUUUACCGACCGGUAUGCGGCUCUCGGGCCAAUAUUUCACGGGAUAAUAAGGAACAAACAGCGUUUCCUUGUUCCGGGCGACGCGAGAGUGUUAUUAUACUAUGGCGGCGGGUCGAAGGUGGCGAUGGCGGAAAUUCGUUCGGCCAAAGGCCACACGGUCUCGACCAAUAAAGCGUAAAUGGAUUAGUCUCUAAGCCGCUGAUACGACUACGGAAAUCCAAAGUGGAACGGGGAGAAGAUUCCGUACAAUCUCGGCGAAUCCACUGUCAACGGACACUCUCAGAAGCCAUUACAUACAUCUUCCUUAUCCGACCGACUGAAAACAAAUUUCUUGCGUUUACGAUCGUCUCUUUCGCGAUUUCUCUUUAUUCUGAAUAUUUCUCCUUAAAGAUAAUUUCUCGAUAAGAUAUAAAAAUAAAAAUUUCUUUUCGUUAUCUCUUUUAAUCUUCUUUUCUUUUUUUACCAAGAAAAAACUUUACGUGGAUAAAUUUAUCUUAUUUCUUUAUUCUUGGUUUAAAUUUAUUUCAAGUUGUAUAUUAUAAAAGCUUAUUUUAUAGAUCGAAACAGAGAUAGUAACACGUUCUUAGAGCGAACGGAUUUUAUUUUGAGAAUGUAUAAGGAAUUAAAGGAGAUGAACGAAGAGUUUCUCUUUUCGAUAUUAAUUCGAUAUUUAAAUCUACUUUAACUCGUGGUAAAUAAAUUUUCCAAAAAUCACGCUAACUAAUUGUUUUUUUAAUUUCAUUAUUCUAAUAACUAUUGAGUUUGUGUACAAGUUCUAACCAAUUACGUAACGAGUAUUCCAUUU